rnacentral:rRNA from 1 species
GUGGGGAAUUUUGGACAAUGGGCGCAAGCCUGAUCCAGCAAUGCCGCGUGCAGGAAGAAGGCCUUCGGGUUGUAAACUGCUUUUGUACGGAACGAAACGGCUCUGGUUAAUACCCGGGGCUAAUGACGGUACCGUAAGAAUAAGCACCGGCUAACUACGUGCCAGCAGCCGCGGUAAUACGUAGGGUGCAAGCGUUAAUCGGAAUUACUGGGCGUAAAGCGUGCGCAGGCGGUUUUGUAAGACAGGCGUGAAAUCCCCGGGCUCAACCUGGGAAUUGCGCUUGUGACUGCAAGGCUGGAGUGCGGCAGAGGGGGAUGGAAUUCCGCGUGUAGCAGUGAAAUGCGUAGAUAUGCGGAGGAACACCGAUGGCGAAGGCAAUCCCCUGGGCCUGCACUGACGCUCAUGCACGAAAGCGUGGGGAGCAAACAGGAUUAGAAACCCCGGUAGUCC